rnacentral:rRNA from 1 species
UUGAACUGAAGAGUUUGAUCCUGGCUCAGAUUGAACGCUGGCGGCAUGCCUUACACAUGCAAGUCGAACGGCAGCACGGGUGCUUGCACCUGGUGGCGAGUGGCGAACGGGUGAGUAAUACAUCGGAACAUGUCCUGUAGUGGGGGAUAGCCCGGCGAAAGCCGGAUUAAUACCGCAUACGAUCCACGGAUGAAAGCGG